GAUCGGUUGCAACUGAGACGAGAUCCUAGCAGUACAUGGUGGUCAAGGUUGGUUCCGACAACCCGAUUCCGAUUUAGCGGCCGUAUGUAUAUUUUUCGAGAACAAAGUUCUGGAGGCUUUAAUGAUGAUUCUAACAGCUGUAGUAACGAUUUGCGACAUCGUAAGGGGCUAUUAACGGAUAUUUGUUAUGUGAAAGAAUAGGUGGUGUUCAUAUUGGGUUGAGUUAGGGCACAAUAAGUGGGUGAUUCAGGACAUUUGUUUUGGUGUAAUUGUUGAUGUGUGUGACCUCAUCGAUGGCUGAUUAAGGGCUGGUGUGAGUGGGAAAUUGAUGGCGAUCGCAAACAGAGGUCAACAUGUUACAGCACAGCUUGGUUAGCG
rnacentral:lncRNA from 1 species